GUGCCAGCAGCCGCGGUAAUUCCAGCUCCAAUAGCGUAUAUUUAAGUUGUUGCAGUUAAAAAGCUCGUAGUUGGAUUUUGGUUAAGAGGGCGCGGUCGGCCGUUUGGUCUGUACUGCGUUGUCUUGACUUCCUGAUGAGGACAUGCUCUUGGUUAACGCUGAGACAUGGAGUCAUCGUGGUUACUUUGAAAAAAUUAGAGUGUUCAAAGCGGGCUUACGCUUGAAUAUAUUAGCAUGGAAUAACACUAUAGGACUCCUGUCCUAUCUCGUUGGUCUCGGGAUGGGAGUAAUGAUUAAGAGGAACAGUUGGGGGCAUUCGUAUUUCAUUGUCAGAGGUGAAAUUCUUGGAUUUAUGAAAGACGAACUUCUGCGAAAGCAUUUGCCAAGGAUGUUUUCAUUAAUCAAGAACGAAAGUUGGGGGCUCGAAGAUGAUUAGAUACCAUCCUAGUCUCAACCAUAAACGAUGCCGACUAGGGAUUGGUGGAUGUUAAUUGAUGACUUCACCAGCACCUUAUGAGAAAUCAAAGUUUUUGGGUUCCGGGGGGAGUAUGGUCGCAAGGCUGAAACUUAAAGGAAUUGACGGAAGGGCACCACCAGGCGUGGAGCCUGCGGCUUAAUUUGACUCAACACGGGAAAUCUCACCAGGCCCGGACACUGGAAGGAUUGACAGAUUGAGAGCUCUUUCUCGAUUCGGUGGGUGGUGGUGCAUGGCCGUUCUUAGUUGGUGGAGUGAUUUGUCUGGUUAAUUCCGAUAACGAACGAGACUCUGUCCUGCUAAAUAGUUGGGUCGUCCUUCGUGCGAUCCAAGUUCUUCUUAGAGGGACUGGCUGCGUCUAGCAGCACGAGAUUGAGCAAUAACAGGUCUGUGAUGCCCAA
rnacentral:rRNA from 1 species